GCUGGGCGCGAUGGCUCACACCUGUAAUCCUAGCACUUUGGGAGGCCGAGGCAGGAGGAUCACCUGAGGUCAGGAGUUCAAGACUAGCCUGACCAACAUGGUGAAACCCUGUCUCUA
ensembl:misc_RNA Metazoa_SRP Metazoan signal recognition particle RNA